GACGAACGCUGGCGGCGGGCUUAACACAUGCAAGUCGAACGGAAAGGCCCUGCUUUUGUGGGGUGCUCGAGUGGCGAACGGGUGAGUAACACGUGAGUAACCUGCCCUUGACUUUGGGAUAACUUCAGGAAACUGGGGCUAAUACCGGAUAGGAGCUCCUGCUGCAUGGUGGGGGUUGGAAAGUUUCGGCGGUUGGGGAUGGACUCGCGGCUUAUCAGCUUGUUGGUGGGGGAGUGGCUUACCCAGGCUUUGACGGGUAGCCGGACUGGGGGGGUGACCGGCACCUUGGGCCUACGAGACGGGCCAGUCGCCAACGGGGGGCAACAGGGGGGAAUCUUGCACAAUGGGCCGAAGCCUGAUGGAGCAACGCCGCGUGCGGGAUGACGGCCUUCGGGUUGUAAACCGCUUUCGCCUGUGACGAAGCGUGAGUGACGGUAAUGGGUAAAGAAGCACCGGCUAACUACGUG
rnacentral:rRNA from 1 species